AGUGAACGCUGGCGGUAGGCCUAACACAUGCAAGUCGAACGGCAGCACAGUAAGAGCUUGCUCUUACGGGUGGCGAGUGGCGGACGGGUGAGGAAUACAUCGGAAUCUACUUUUUCGUGGGGGAUAACGGAGGGAAACUUACGCUAAUACCGCAUACGACCUACGGGUGAAUGCAGGGGAUCUUCGGACCUUGCGCGAUUGAAUGAGCCGAUGUCGGAUUAGCUAGUUGGCGGGGUAAAGGCCCACCAAGGCGACGAUCCGUAGCUGGUCUGAGAGGAUGAUCAGCCACACUGGAACUGAGACACGGUCCAGACUCCUACGGGAGGCAGCAGUGGGGAAUAUUGGACAAUGGGCGCAAGCCUGAUCCAGCCAUACCGCGUGGGUGAAGAAGGCCUUCGGGUUGUAAAGCCCUUUUGUUGGGAAAGAAAAGCAGCAGGUUAAUACCCCGCUGUUCUGACGGUACCCAAAGAAUAAGCACCGGCUAACUUCGUG
rnacentral:rRNA from 1 species